rnacentral:piRNA from 1 species
UUCAAACUGGCUUUGAACAAGGUGAC